rnacentral:lncRNA from 10 species
CUGUUGUGGUCUCCGAGGACACAUGGUAAUGGUGAUGCUGUGCCUUGUUAUCUAAGAACAUGAUUGUAUAAUUUGUUUAAGAAAAUGUCAAUAUUGUGCCAUUUGUGAACUUCAUCAAGAUUAAAAGCAUAUUUUGGGUACAUUUGUUUCAAAACCUUGGUGAUGCAUUACAACUUGUUUUCUUAUGUAAUAAUAAUGAUGAUGAUGAUGAUAAUAAUAAAUAUUUUUGAGUGC